rnacentral:sRNA from 1 species
CUCCUCGUGGAAGUCUCUUGACUUCAGCAUAUUCUUUGGCACCUUCAAUAGUGAUGAAAAGUUGACCUUUGCUUUUUUUCCUUGUUCUUUCUGAGAGGUAUCUCUAAAUUCUAGGCAAUCAAAUAACAAAGAUGGAAUUGGAAAGAACAUCUGACUGCAACUAGAAAGCUCAUUCAGCAUCUGCACAAGCCUCAGUCUCAAUGGUAAGUAACGUGUGCCUGGGAAUAAGUGAGCCACUCCUCUUAUUAUUUGAACAACUGAAGAAAGUAAUGGAUGCAUAUUGUAGUCCUUGUAGUUACAACAAAGAAACCUAACCCAUAGGUUUACACAGUUAAUAUAUUGCCAGUUAUCUACCUUCCUGAGGUCUUCCUUUUCUUUUGUUUUACAAGCCUGCCUGAGAAUAGAAUUCAGUUGUCCUAUAGAGGUAGUUGCCCUCUCACAUGAUUUCUGAACAUCAAGAGAAUAGAGCUCCACUAGACAGUCCAUUAAAAAAUCAAUGUGCUUUAUAUUUCCUUCAUUCACAAGCUUGGAACUAGCAAGGUAUGUAUUAUAAGAUUUAUUUAAGCAGAGAUCCAAACAUUCUGGUAACAGCGAAGCCACUUCCCGUAUCAUAAGAAAUGAGGACAGAGACAAGUUAUGAUCUCCACUGGCCCACAAACGAAUUAAGAUCUUGAGGAGCCUCCUUGAUGUUGAUGGAUAUGCAGAAAAAAGAACUGCGGAUGCUCUCAGUCGAGUCAAGACAAAUGCAAGUAUUUGGUUGUCAGUAAGUUGACUAAGCAGAUCAAGAGAAUUCUGCAAGUAAGACUUUACGAGUGGUUCAAUAGUUUUCCAUUUCUUUGCACUUCUCAGAUUCAUAAUUUUCCCUUUGUUUACAUCAUCCGAAAUUUCUAAGAGAGCAUGGAAAAUGUUGUCUGCUUCGGAAAGGACAAAUGUUAUUAUCUGAUGAAACACUUCAGUACUUUGAAUUCUCUGCACAGAAGGGCUCUUGGAAACACCAAAUCGACAAGCAUCCCGGUAAGCAUUUAAUAGGCUGCGUAGAGAAGGUGCUUUAGGUUCCUUUGCAACUAACUGGCACCAUUCACUUAUAGUCUUCCUUGUCAGUAUCUUAUCAUUUGAAAGAUUUUCAUCACUGGAGUCAGCAUCAUU